rnacentral:rRNA from 1 species
CCUACGGGGGACAGCAGUGAGGAAUAUUGGUCAAUGGACGAGAGUCUGAACCAGCCAAGUAGCGUGAAGGAUGACUGCCCUAUGGGUUGUAAACUUCUUUUAUAUGGGAAUAAAACGUUCCACGUGUGGGAUUUUGUAUGUACCAUAUGAAUAAGGAUCGGCUAACUCCGUGCCAGCAGCCGCGGUAAUACGGAGGAUCCGAGCGUUAUCCGGAUUUAUUGGGUUUAAAGGGAGCGUAGGUGGAUUGUUAAGUCAGUUGUGAAAGUUUGCGGCUCAACCGUAAAAUUGCAGUUGAAACUGGCAGUCUUGAGUACAGUAGAGGUGGGCGGAAUUCGUGGUGUAGCGGUGAAAUGCUGAGAUAUCACGAAGAACUCCGAUUGCGAAGGUAGUUCACUGGACUGCAACUGACACUGAGGCUCGAAAGUGUGGGUAUCAAACAGGAUUAGAUACCCCAGUAGUC